rnacentral:lncRNA from 1 species
CUGCCCCCUGUAGGUUAGCUGUGGUCUCUCCCUCUGCCCCUGUAGGUUAGUUGUGGCCUCUCCCUCUGCCCCCUGUAGGUUAGUUGUGGCCUCUCCCUCUGCCCCCUGUAGGUUAGUAGUGGUCUCUCCCUCUGCCCCUUGUAGGUUAGUUGUGGCCUCUCCCUCUGCACCCUGUAGGUUAGUUGUGGUCUCUCCCUCUGCCCCUUGUAGGUUAGUUGUGGCCUCUCCCUCUGCACCCUGUAGGUUAGUUGUGGCCUCUCCUUCUGCACCCUGUAGGUUAUUGUGGCCUC